CCUACGGGAGGCUGCAGUGGGGGAUAUUGGACAAUGGGGGAAACCCUGCUCCAGCGACGCCGCGUGAGUGAAGAAGUAUUUCGGUAUGUAAAGCUCUGUCAGCAGGGACGAAAGAAAUGACGGUACCUGACCAAGAAGCACCGGCUAACUACGUGCCAGCAGCCGCGCGAAUACGUAGGGGGCAAGCGUUAUCCGGAAUUACUGGGUGUAAAGGGAGCGUAGACGGUGAUGCAAGUCUGGAGGGAAAGGCGGGGGCCCAACCCCCGGACUGCUCUGGAAACUGUGUAACGUGAGUGCAGGAGAGGUAAGCGGAAUUCCUAGUGUAGCGGUGAAAUGCGUAGAUAUUAGGAGGAAAACCAGUGGCGAAGGCGGCUUACUGGACUGUAACUGACGUUGAGGCUCGAAAGCGUGGGGAGCAAACAGGAUUAGAUACCCGUGUAGUC
rnacentral:rRNA from 1 species